UAGAAGUUGUCACAAAGUAACUUUGUUUAUGUUAAAGAGAUGGUGGAAAUUGGUCCAGUUUUUGGAAGCAUAAUCAUCUACUUCUUAUAUGGACUCCAUUGACAAGCCCAUUGAAGGUGACAAAUGGGUACAGCUCGAUACAGAAGGGGUAAAGCUCGAUACAGAUGCAAACCGAGUAGUGGAAUCCACUGUUGCACACUUUGGAAAGCUCGAUACAGUAUACAAUGAGCAAAUUGGUGAUUUGCUGGAUCCAACACAGAGAAAACUUGAGAUAAAAGAUGAGGCUAAAUAUGGGUUUUAGGUUAAGAAUCCGACUGAGGAAUAUGUAACUGGCUAUGAGAAAGUUACUCAAGUUUUCAUCAAGAUGGCAUGGGUAGCAAGAAGCAAUGAUGUACUGCUCGAUUGGAUAAUAUCCUACAUAGCUGUCUAUAUAAAGACUCUACUUGUAGUCUUUAGGUUGGAAGGAGAAGAAUAUAUAUCAAUAGUUGAUGAAUUGAUGGAAGCUCUUCAUACACGUUGGCCAAAAGCUAUUAUCCAGUUUGAAGAUUUUCAAUUCAAGUGGGCUUUUGAAACUCUUCAAAGAUACCAAAAUAAGUACUACAUGUUCAAUGACGACAUACAGGGAAAUGCUGGUGUUGCAUUAGCUGGAUUGCUUGGACUGUUAGAGCACAGGGCCGACCAUUGUCAGAUUUUGUAGAUCAAAAGAUUGUAGUUGUUGGAGCUGGAAGGGCUUGGCAUUCUUAAAAUGACCUAUCAAGCUGUUUUGAGAAUGACCGGAACAACAGCAAACCCUCAGUUCAUUGAUAAACAGGCACGCUUUCAUCCAUUCUCAUGUUUUGAGAAUGACAGGAACAACAGCAAACCCUCAGGCUUAAUAUCUUUUGUUACUAUCUGUAAUAUCUAAUG